UGAGCAACCUGCCCUUAGCUCUGGGAUAACCCCGGGAAACCGGGGCUAAUACCGGAUACGAGUCCGAGCGGCAUCAUGCGGACUGGAAAGUUUUUCGGCUAAGGAUGGGCUCGCGGCCUAUCAGCUUGUUGGUGGGGUAAUGGCCUACCAAGGCGACGACGGGUAGCCGGCCUGAGAGGGCGACCGGCCACACUGGGACUGAGACACGGCCCAGACUCCUACGGGAGGCA
rnacentral:rRNA from 1 species